rnacentral:rRNA from 1 species
CAGUAGCCGCGGGAAUACGUAGGUGGCAAGCGUUGUCCGGAAUUAUUGGGCGUAAAGGGCUCGCAGGCGGUUUCUUAAGUCUGAUGUGAAAGCCCCCGGCUCAACCGGGGAGGGUCAUUGGAAACUGGGAAGCUUGAGUGCAGAAGAGGAGAGUGGAAUUCCACGUGUAGCGGUGAAAUGCGUAGAGAUGUGGAGGAACACCAGUGGCGAAGGCGACUCUCUGGUCUGUAACUGACGCUGAGGAGCGAAAGCGUGGGGAGCGAACAGGAUUAGAUACCCCGGUAGUCCCUGUCUCUUAUAA